GAUGCCAUAUAUAUCUUGUAUCUUUCAUUAUAAAUAUGGACUCUUCAGUAUUUUAUGCACAUACACAAGUGAAUGAAAUGCAGCGCUUUAGAGGUUUUGUGCUAGACGAACCACAUAAAUCCUUGUUAUUUUCUCCUAUCUUUUCAAUCAUUCUAAAUUUCAACAGUAGGAUUAUGAUCUCUACUAGUAGUGAAUGAUUAAUAAUUACUGGGUCAAUUAGCUUUCCAUGCAGUUCCGUGAGUCUGAAAUGUAGCCUUUUAAUAGUGGAAUAAUACCACGAGAAAUAUGCACCAAUAAGUAGGAAACAAAUCCAGUAUCACCAGCACUACUGAUGACUUCACUUUUGUUUCCUUAGGUGAUCCCAACCCAAGCAAAAGCUCAAGGCAUCUUGUCUUCUUAUCCCAAUGAGAAAAGAGAUGAAGGGGCAUUUAGGUACACACCAUCUAAACGUAACCAUUUUUCCCACAGGUCUAAAUAAAUUAACAAUGAAAAUGAACACUAUCAAAAUAAAUUAACAAAGAAAAUGAACACCAAGAGCUGUCAAUAAGAAUGAAUUACAGUUGAUGCAUGGAACAUACUGUGAAUUUCUGCAAGGAAACUU
rnacentral:misc_RNA from 1 species